AAACUUCAAGAUGUCUAUAAUGCACAUGCCAAAUUUUAGGUCCAUCCAAUGAACAACAAGGAUUUCACAAAUCAUAUAAGCUCAUGACUCCCAGAAAGUUCACAAUUGGUCAAACAGAGGGAAAAUUCUCAAACAAAUAGAAAAUGCAUUCAAAAAUUCCAGGAAAAAUCACAAGAAAACUUAACAUCCAUAAGUAUCAACAUGCAAAAAUUCAGAGAAAUUGGCAAUCAAAUAGCAUGGCAAAUAAAAUCAGCAAUA
rnacentral:lncRNA from 1 species